GCCACAGUGGCUCAGGGGUAGAGCAAUUCACUCGUAAUGAAUAGGUCGUGGGUUCGAUUCCCACCUGUGGCUCCA
rnacentral:tRNA from 1 species